rnacentral:rRNA from 1 species
UACGUAGGAUGCAAGCGUUGUCCGGAUUUACUGGGCGUAAAGCGCGCGUAGGCGGCACUCUAAGUCCGCUGUGAAAUCUCCCGGCUCAACCGGGAGGGUGCAGUGUAGACUAGGGAGCUAGAGGUCGGUAGAGGGGGGUGGAAUUGCUGGUGUAGCGGUGAAAUGCGUAGAGAUCAGCAGGAACACCAGUGGCGAAGGCGGCUUUCUGGACGGUAACUGACGCUGAGACGCGAAAGCGUGGGGAGCAAACAGG